ACUAUUUUGGCAGAUAAGUGCCUUGGAUUUAGAAUUCAAAUAUGUAAUAAAUGUUACAAAUAGUAUUGA
rnacentral:tRNA from 1 species